AACGAACGCUGGCGGCGUGCUAACACAUGCAAGUCGAACGCGAAAGGGACUUCGGUCCUGAGUAAAGUGGCGCACGGGUGAGUAACGCGUAGAUAACCUGUCUUCAUGUCUGGAAUAAUACGCCGAAAGGGGUACUAAUACCGGAUAUCUUGCUUUUCAUAAGUUAUGCAAGCAAAGGUGGCCUCUGCAUAUGCUACUGCAUGAAGAGGGGUCUGCGUACCAUUAGCUAGUAGGUGGGGUAAUGGCCUACCUAGGCGACGAUGGUUAGCGGGUCUGAGAGGAUGAUCCGCCACACUGGCACUGGAACACGGGCCAGACUCCUACGGGAGGCAGCAGUGAGGAAUAUUGCGCAAUGGGGGAAACCCUGACGCAGCGACGCCGCGUGAGUGAGGAAAGGGCCUUCGGGUCGUAAAGCUCUGUCAAGAGGAAAGAAGUGUACAAUGGCUAAUACCUGUUGUAUUUGACGGUACCUCUAAAGGAAGCACCGGCUAACUCCGUGCCAGCAGCUGC
rnacentral:rRNA from 1 species